rnacentral:rRNA from 1 species
CACGUAGGGGGCAAGCGUUGUCCGGAUUUAUUGGGCGUAAAGAGCUCGUAGGCGGCUUAGUAAGUCGGGUGUGAAACCUCCAGGCUCAACCUGGAGACGCCACCCGAUACUGCUGUGGCUAGAGUCCGGUAGGGGAGCGUGGAAUUCCUGGUGUAGCGGUGAAAUGCGCAGAUAUCAGGAAGAACACCAAUGGCGAAAGCAGCUCUCUGGGACGGUACUGACGCUGAGACGCGAAAGCGUGGGGAGCGAACAGG